AUUGAACGCUGGCGGCAGGCCUAACACAUGCAGGUCGAGCGAGCGGCGGACGGGUGAGUAAUGUCUGGGAAACUGCCUGAUGGAGGGGGAUAACUACUGGAAACGGUAGCUAAUACCGCAUACCAUCAGAUGUGCCCAGAUGGGAUUAGCUAGUAGGUGGGGUAAUGGCUCACCUAGGCGACUAUCCCUAGCUGGUCUGAGAGGAUGACCAGCCACACUGUAACUGAGACACGGUCCAGACUCCUCCGGGCGGCAGCAGUGGGGAAUAUUGCACGAUGGGCGCAAGCCGGAUGCAGCCAUGCCGCGUGUAUGUAGAAGGCCUUCGGGUUUUAAAGUACUUUCAGCGAGGAGGCGUUACCGACAGAAGAAGCACCGGCUAACUCCGUGCCAGCAGCCGCGGUAAUAC
rnacentral:rRNA from 1 species